rnacentral:rRNA from 1 species
CGACUGUUUAAUAAAAACAUAAGAUUUUUUGCUAAAUUGUAAAAUGAUGUAUAAAAUCUGACGCCUGCCCAGUGCUGCAAGACGAAAACUUUAGGUAUAUGCUUAAAGUAUAAGCCCAGUAAACGGCGGCCGUAACCCUGACGGUCCAAAGGUAGCAAAAUUCCUUGACGGGUAAAUUCCGUCCUGCACGAAUGGCGUAACGACUGCUUCGCUGUCUCCGGUAUUAUCCUUGUGAAUUUUGAACUAGCCGUGAAGAUGCGGUUUAGUACAGCUAGACGGAAAGACCCUAUGCACCUUUACUGCAUUCUUAUUUUUUAGAAGUAACUAAAGGCUUUUCUAGUGAGGUGGGGGAUAAUUUUAUUUUUAAGUGGAAAACCACUAAGUUUUUUUUUUACUUUUUUAAGCUGAAAAAUUAAUUUUAUUUUGGUGGAGAAGGUAGAGUGGUAGUUUUGACUGGGGC